UGGGGAAUUUUGGACAAUGGGCGAAAGCCUGAUCCAGCAAUGCCGCGUGUGUGAAGAAGGCCUUCGGGUUGUAAAGCACUUUUGUCCGGAAAGAAAUCCUUGGCUCUAAUACAGUCGGGGGAUGACGGUACCGGAAGAAUAAGCACCGGCUAACUACGUGCCAGCAGCCGCGGUAAUACGUAGGGUGCAAGCGUUAAUCGGAAUUACUGGGCGUAAAGCGUGCGCAGGCGGUUUGCUAAGACCGAUGUGAAAUCCCCGGGCUCAACCUGGGAACUGCAUUGGUGACUGGCAGGCUAGAGUAUGGCAGAGGGGGGUAGAAUUCCACGUGUAGCAGUGAAAUGCGUAGAGAUGUGGAGGAAUACCGAUGGCGAAGGCAGCCCCCUGGGCAAUACUGACGCUCAUGCACGAAAGCGUGGGGAGCAAACAGGAUUAGAUACCCUGGUAGUCCACGCCCUAAAACGAUGUCAACUAGUUGUUGGGGAUUCAUUUCCUUAGUAACGUAGCUAACGCGUGAAGUUGACCGCCUGGGGAGUACGGUCGCAAGAUUAAAACUCAAAUGAAUUGACGGGGUCAUAGCUGUUUCCU
rnacentral:rRNA from 1 species